rnacentral:rRNA from 1 species
UACAGAGGGGGCAAGCGUUGUUCGGAAUUACUGGGCGUAAAGGGCGCGUAGGCGGCCUGCUAAGUCGAACGUGAAAUCCCUGGGCUCAACCCAGGAACUGCGUCCGAUACUGGUUGGCUUGAAUCCGGGAGAGGGACGUGGAAUUCCAGGUGUAGCGGUGAAAUGCGUAGAUAUCUGGAGGAACACCGGUGGCGAAGGCGACGUCCUGGACCGGCACCGACGUUCAGGCACGAAAGCGUGGGGAGCAAACAGG